UACGUAGGGGGCAAGCGUUGUUCGGAAUUACUGGGCGUAAAGGGCGCGUAGGCGGCUGCGUAAGUCGGGUGUGAAAGCCCCGGGCUCAACUUGGGAAUUGCAUUCGAGACUGCGUGGCUAGGGUGCGGAAGAGGGAAGCGGAAUUUCCGGUGUAGCGGUGAAAUGCGUAGAUAUCGGAAGGAACACCAGUGGCGACAGCGGCUUCCUGGUCCAGCACCGACGUUCAGGCACGAAAGCGUGGGGAGCAAACAGG
rnacentral:rRNA from 1 species